GAUGAACGCUGGCGGCGUGCCUAAUACAUGCAAGUCGAGCGAACAGAUGAGGAGCUUGCUCCUCUGACGUUAGCGGCGGACGGGUGAGUAACACGUGGAUAACCUACCUAUAAGACUGGGAUAACUUCGGGAAACCGGAGCUAAUACCGGAUAAUAUAUUGAACCGCAUGGUUCAAUAGUGAAAGACGGUUUUGCUGUCACUUAUAGAUGGAUCCGCGCCGCAUUAGCUAGUUGGUAAGGUAACGGCCUACCAAGGCAACGAUGCGUAGCCGACCUGAGAGGGUGAUCGCCCACACUGGAACUGAGACACGGUCCAGACUCCUACGGGAGGCAGCAGUAGGGAAUCUUCCGCAAUGGGCGAAAGCCUGACGGAGCAACGCCGCGUGAGUGAUGAAGGUCUUCGGAUCGUAAAACUCUGUUAUUAGGGAAGAACAAAUGUGUAAGUAACUAUGCACGUCUUGACGGUACCUAAUCAGAAAGCCACGGCUAACUACGUG
rnacentral:rRNA from 1 species